UAUUGGGUUGGCCAAAAAGUUGGUUCAGGUUUAGCCAUACGAUAUUACAGGAAAACCAGAACAAACGUUUUGGCAAACCCAAUAUG
rnacentral:miRNA from 1 species